rnacentral:rRNA from 1 species
GACGAACCGUGCGAACGUUGUUCGGAAUCACUGGGCUUAAAGGGCGCGUAGGCGGGCCGCAAAGUCAGGGGUGAAAUCCUCCAGCUCAACUGGGGAACUGCCUUUGAUACUGGCGGUCUAGAGUGGGGUAGGGGCAUGCGGAACAAUGGGUGGAGCGGUGAAAUGCGUUGAUAUCCAUUGGAACUCCGGUGGCGAAAGCGGCGUGCUGGACCUCUACUGACGCUGAUGCGCGAAAGCCAGGGGAGCAAACGGG